rnacentral:rRNA from 1 species
UACGUAGGCAGCAAGCGUUGCUCGGAAUUACUGGGCGUAAAGCGCACGUAGGCGGCUUCUUAAGUCGGUGGUGAAAUCCUGGAGCUCAACUCCAGAACUGCCUUCGAUACUGGGAAGCUCGAGUCCGGGAGAGGUGAGUGGAACUGCGAGUGUAGAGGUGAAAUUCGUAGAUAUUCGCAAGAACACCAGUGGCGAAGGCGGCUCACUGGCCCGGUACUGACGCUGAGGUGGCGAAAAGCGUGGGGAGCAACAGG